rnacentral:rRNA from 1 species
UACAGAGGUCUCAAGCGUUGUUCGGAUUCAUUGGGCGUAAAGGGUGCGUAGGCGGCGCGGUAAGUCGGAUGUGAAAUCUUGGAGCUUAACUCCGAAACUGCAUUCGAUACUGCCGUGCUUGAGGACUGGAGAGGAGACUGGAAUUUACGGUGUAGCGGUGAAAUGCGUAGAUAUCGUAAGGAGGACCAGUGGCGAAGGCGGGUCUCUGGACAGUUCCUGACGCUGAAGCACGAAGGCCAGGGGAGCAAACGGG